GGUAGUAGCAAAUAUUUAAGUUCGAUCCUUGAAGAUUGAAGUGGAGAAGGGUUCCACGUGAACAGUAGAUGAAUUUGGGUCAGUCCAUCCUUAGAUACUGGCUUAUGCCUUGGGUGAUUGAGAGGGAAAAAUUUCUUCCCCCUCGGAUAUCAAAACGGAAUAGCGUUAAUAUUCCCUAAUGCAGACACAGAGAUUGCUGCUCUUUGAGUCGCUUGCGCGGUAACGCAUUCGAACUUGGUUACGUCGCUCAGAGACCGAGCUAGAGUUCUCUUCUCUAGUUAAGGAACGGACUCCCUGGAAUCGCUUCAGCCGUAGAUAGAGACGUUGCUUCCGAAAUCAGCAUUGAAAUCUAAUUCAAAAACACUCGCAUCUGUAUAAGGUGGAGUCGGCAGUAAUGAAAAGAAUGUCGAAGGUAAGACUGGAAGGAAGUCAAAUUUCACCGCUGCUC
rnacentral:ncRNA from 1 species